rnacentral:lncRNA from 15 species
AUGGAAAUGGAAUUCAGGGCUUUGCUUCUGCUGGGACUCUUUUUGGCGGAGCCAGGGUUCGGACAGAGAGGUGACAUGGAUAUUAGUGAGUGGUUGAAAGAAAGAGUGGAGUUAAUAAAAAACUUGGAGGGUAAACUGAAAUAUGUAGACAGAUGGGAGGAUGAUGUUAAAGAUCUGGAGGCCAGGCUCAACGCGACUGUGGACGCGCUGACGAGACAGAAAGCUGAAGUGGACAGACUGAAUGAAAAGAAUGAAGGCCUGCAAAAAAGACUGAAGGCCACAGAGGAGAAGAUUGAUAAGCUGAAACAAAGCAGUGCUGAAGGUUAGAUGAUCAAACUUACAGUAUUUGAAUUUCUGUGUUAAAUCUGAAAAGACAAAUGACUUUAAACAUUUAUUAUGAUAAAACUGUGAAGAAAAUCUACUGUCUCUGAGUGUUCAUUUCUAAAUUUAUAUUAAAGUAAUCAAUAAUUCAGGGACCCUUUAUCAUUCUGUCAUCUUUUAUAUUCAUCCUCAUGUCUCUCCAGGUGCUCCUAAGAUCGCGUUCUCAGCCUCUUUUUCGUAAACUCUGGGGAGAUUUAUAAAGGACCCUGCACAGAGAAGACCCUGGUUUUCCAAAGGGUCUUCUCAAACACUGGCAGUGGUUAUGACCAAAAUACAGGUAAUGGACCCUCUCGCACUUUAUUUGAGAAAAUUAAAUAAUAAAUAACAUUAUAGCAUUCCACUGUAGCCUAUAGCCUCUAUAGAUCAUUAAUGAAUUAAUAAUAUUAGCUCAACCAGGUUCUGAAAAGCCAUAAUUCAUUAGUUUAGAUUUGCCUCCAAAGAAGCUGCCUUUGAGAAACUUUAAAGAAAUAAAACUCGAAUCUAGUUAGAAUUUGAGUAACACAUCUUGUAUCUGCUUGCUCUUUUCCAAGAAUCUUCACGGCACCAGUGAGCGGUCUCUAUUACUUCAGCUUCAGUAACUAUGGCUACAACACUCACGUAAUGGGGGUCAUUUUAAGAAAAAAUGGCAUCCUUCAAAUUUCGACGGCUCAGACAGUAGCAGUAACUCUGCUGUUCUUCAGUUGGCUGCUGGUGAUAGGGUGCACAUGGAACUGUGGGAUAAUGGUAGAGUGUUUGACAACGUUAACGGACACACGACCUUCAGUGGUUUUCUUGUCUUCCCUGUGUAAAUAAUUAGGAAACAAUGCAUUGAAAGAUGCUUAUGCAACAGUAACAGUACAGUUUAUUGAAAAUAUAACAACAAUAAAUGCAAAACAGACUUCUUACAUUGUCUAUUUUUUCUGUCUCUGGUAACUAAAAACUGCAACAGGCUUCAUCAGUAGCACAGCAGGGGCUGGGUUUGAGAACUGGAGGAUGGCCAGUGAGUGGACUGGUUGCCAGAGAAGUGACAGUUCAUCUCAGAGCACCUUCUGC